AAACUUUCAACAAUGGAUCUCUUGGUUCUCGCAUCGAUGAAGAACGCAGCGAAAUGCGAUAAGUAAUGUGAAUUGCAGAAUUCCGUGAAUCAUCAAAUUUUUGAACGCAAAUUGCACUCCUUGGUAUUCCGAGGAGUACACAUGCUUGAGGGUCAGUU
rnacentral:rRNA from 2 species